CGGACGGGUGAGUAACGCGUGGAUAACCUGCCUUUCACAGGGGGAUAACAGCUGGAAACGGCUGCUAAUACCGCAUGAGCCUCUUUUGUCGCAUGAGGAGAGAGGGAAAGAGAAAUCGGUGAGAGAUGGAUCCGCGUCCGAUUAGCUAGUUGGAGGGGUAACAGCCCACCAAGGCGACGAUCGGUAGCCGACCUGAGAGGGUGGACGGCCACAUUGGGACUGAGACACGGCCCAAACUCCUACGGGAGGCAGCAG
rnacentral:rRNA from 1 species